ensembl:snoRNA SNORD33 Small nucleolar RNA Z195/SNORD33/SNORD32 family
UGGGUCAGUGAUGAGCAACAAUUAUGGUCUUUUGUUUGCAUCUGACAACCAUGAGAUCGACCUCCACACAGCUCUGAGAACCU